rnacentral:lncRNA from 1 species
CUCCCGGGCGCGCGGGCGGGGAAGGAGGAAGAGGCGGGCGGGGAACCGCGGGGUGCUCACCGCCCUGGGGCAUUAGGGGUGCGGAACCGCGUUGGAGGCCUCGCGGCCCCGGCUCGCGAGAGCGCACUGCGGAGUGGCCGCCGGAGCUCGGCCUACUCCUCUCCCCCACCCACCUCCCGUCGGACACAGUCUCCACUCUCCAGGCCGCCGGCCGUGGGGGAGCCCCUAAUCAGUUCGCGCCCGGCCUCUCUGCCCGUCUUCCUCACGGGAACCGCACUGCGACCGGGACGGACGGGGUGACCUAUCUCCCGAUGCAGCGUCAGAGGUUAGCCUAACUACAACGGACUCGGAAUCUGGACUGUAUAAGGAUGCCCUCCGCACUUCCAUCAGGGGUCGGGGAUGCGAUGCCUCCGGGCCCACCUUCUCCCACGCCCAGGGCGCGCCUGCGGAAUGAGAAUAUCGUACUCAAGACGGGUGGGCUGCUUGCGACCCAAAUACAAUGGGUCCCUCGCACAUCCUGCACUCGCACGCCCCCUUCUCCCCCAACGAGUUGUCCCCUCUAAAACGCGAGCGGCGACCACACAACUUGGCCGACCCGAUCUGGCUUCUGAAGAUGAGGUCGGCUGCUCUGGGAGCGGAGAAGGGGAGAGAGCUUAGUGGUUUCAUCCGAGGCCUGGCCAACCUGCUCCUUCCCACGCUCCCGUCCAGGAUUUGAGUCUUGGAGAAGCGUGAGACUCGAGGGAGCUCUUCCCUGGAUGCAAGUCGGAGGCCAGGGAGCCCCUUGGCACACACUCGCGCCUGCACAUGCUUGCACCCUCGAAGCGAUCUGGUUCCUUAGCGCUGGUUUCCUUUCCAGCUUCUUUGAGAUCUUCGAAGUCCCCUUUCCCAGGGAGGCGGGCAGGGCCGGGCUAAGCAGGAUGGAAGGCAGCCCUUUUUAUUGAAUCUGAUAGCUACUUUCCCAAAAAGGCCAGAAAAGCCAUUUCACAUCCCCAUAGUUAUGGGAAUUAGCUUUUUCUCCAAGAUGCCCCCAUUAGCCAGUUAAACCAUCAGUGGGCCAACAGGGUCAAAGUUAGUGGCUUGGUGGUUGAAAGCUCGGAGUCCGAACUCUCUGAAGACAUUUUUCCCGCCUUGCCACUUUCUAGUUGGUGACCUUGGCAAGCAAGGUACUCAGCCGCUGUGUACCUCAGUUUUGCGGUUUGUAAAAUGGGAGUUACAAUAGUGCACCCCUUGUAGAGUGGCUAUAGGUUUAAGAGUUAAUAUACGCAAGGUCUUUAGGACGGUGCUGAGCGUACAGAAGGCCCUCUCUUGAGUGGUCGCAGUUGGCUGCUCUCGGCCUCAUCUCCGUUUGUGAAAACCCGUCCAGAUUCCGGUCCUCCCAGGCCCCAGCUGAAGUUUGGAGAGAGGCUUUGCUGAAUAGCUGUUUAGUCUCCCCCAACCCCCUUGGCCCUCGGAGCUCCUGGAAAAAGUUCUUAAUGAAGUAAUGUUGAGAGCGUCCAUUAAAAAUGCAAUGCUGGGAGAUCAAAGUACAAUAUUUAUUUUAGAAAUUUGUUGUAAUCACCAAGAGAUACAGGUAUCAAGGCCAAAUGUCAGUUCCAUUACACAAAGCCCCGCGCCCGGGAAGAGCGUGUGGCUGCUCUGCCAUAAUGUAAAGAGACAUCAAAGACCGAGCGCGCUGCAAAAGUGCGCAGCUGUGGGGGAGAGAGUAAGCCCGGGAGGGCCAGGCGCGCCCCAGACAGCGCGGGGGCUGCGGGGGCGGGGGUCAGUUCAAAGAGGUAUCCGUUGGGGCGCGAGUUCACAGGAGGGAAGAUUUAAUGGGCUUUCUUUUGUUGGUGGGUGUGUUUGCGCACGGUGGACCCAGGAACUCCUAUGUGGUCCUCCUGCCUCGGGGCGGAGAUGGGGGUGGGGUGGGAGCUGCGAAUGUGGAGCAAACUUUAACCGUGGCGGGGGGCGGGGAGGUUGAAUACCAGUCUCCUGGCGGCGGCUGGCACAGCGGAGCUGCUCUCCAAGCAGCGGGGUUCCCAGGCUGGGAAGUUUGCAUUGCCGUUUCUUUGCGGGCGGGCGGCGAGCGCCGACUGCAUGCCACCUGCGAGAGGAAGAGGCCGUCCUCCUGACAUCUUAAUCUAUCUGCCAACGCUACAUGCCGUCAAGCCAAGGAAGAAUUUCCUUCUCACUGUUGCUUCUCUGACCAAGGAAGACAUAAGCACAACCAAUCACCAGACUGAUGAAAUUCCUUCCAGUUUCAGAAAAGAUUAUCACCAAUCCCUACAUUAUAAAAUUCAUACUAAUAAAGCACAAACAUUGAAU